UAACGAGCUAAAAAUAAAUGCCGUGCUGCCGCUGAGACAGGCGGAGCUGGAUGCUCUUUGAGAUGCUAACAGGAGCUAUACUGCCUGCGGUACUGACAUCACCGAUCUGACAAGGAUCCAUGAAGGUCCGGUGUCGCUGUUACAAACCGGACUUGUGUAACAGUGGACUCUAAACAGCACAGAUGUUGCAAACCGGACACUGGGCUAUAGACGGUGGGAGACACACAAAGGCAAGCAGCGCUAAUGGCGCUAUCACUACUGGAAAUGCUAAUGGAGUUAGAGCACCAGUACUCUGGAACCACUACCAACACAGAACGAAGUUCAGACCCUCAACCGCUGUUACCUAACAGGACACAGAGCUACAGAAGAACUUACCGGAUCACGAAGUUCCGACUAGAGACCCCUGACUGCUGAGUCCUCAGCCUGACCUUCUGCAGACACACAGCGGACCUGAUCAACACCCGGUCCAGACUGGACCGUCCCGGCAGAGGUGGAUUGGAGUCUCUGACACCGGCGCUGUUUGAAACCGGGUCUCAGGACGGAACUUUUCGGGAGCACGAGCCGCGGAGGCGUGAAGUCCUCCACGGGACAGCGCACAAGGCAGGACACAAGGCUGCAGGGUUUAUUCUACAC